rnacentral:rRNA from 1 species
GAUGAACGCUGGCGGCGUGCCUAAUACAUGCGAGUCGAGCGAACGGACGAGAAGCUUGCUUUUCUGAUGUUAGCGGCGGACGGGUGAGUAACACGUGGAUAACCUACCUAUAAGACUGGGAUAACUUCGGGAAACCGGAGCUAAUACCGGAUAAUAUUUUGAACCGCAUGGUUCAAAAGUGAAAGACGGUCUUGCUGUCACUUAUAGAUGGAUCCGCGCUGCAUUAGCUAGUUGGUAAGGUAACGGCUUACCAAGGCAACGAUGCAUAGCCGACCUGAGAGGGUGAUCGGCCACACUGGAACUGAGACACGGUCCAGACUCCUACGGGAGGCAGCAGUAGGGAAUCUUCCGCAAUGGGCGAAAGCCUGACGGAGCAACGCCGCGUGAGUGAUGAAGGUCUUCGGAUCGUAAAACUCUGUUAUUAGGGAAGAACAUAUGUGUAAGUAACUGUGCACAUCUUGACGGUACCUAUCAGAAAGCCACGGCUAACUACGUG